rnacentral:tmRNA from 1 species
GGCCUUUCAUUUUCCACGAUCGGUCCCUAUAUCUGUUUCGUCGGCUCGACCGACUAUGGCAAUAAACAGGCGAUGAAAUAAGCCGUUCGGACCCGGGGGCGGUACCCGGCGCCUCCACCAAAAACCGCUCUGCGAAGAGCGGCUUUUGCUGGGGGCGAAAUAGGAUCGACGAAGNNNNNNNNNNACGAAGGUGUAAAGAUCGUACUUUUGCCCGGCAUUGUACCACCGUUAUCGGGCUAAACUUAUAGUUGCCAACGACAACUAUGCGGAAGCACGUCUCGCCGCGUAAGCGGUGCGAUAGCUUCAAUUCAAGCCCUAGUGGUUCGCACUUCUAGGCGGGGUUCGGAGGUACCUGGCAACAGAAACCUCCACU